rnacentral:rRNA from 1 species
CCCGGCCGACAAGACGGUGGAGUAGUGUGGUUUAAUUCGAUGCAACGCGAAGAACCUUACCUGGUCUUGACAUCCCGGAGACCCUUAGGAAACUAGGGGGUGGCUUCCAUCUGGAAGAAUCUGGAGACAGGUGCUGCAUGGCUGUCGUCAGCUCGUGUCGUGAGAUGUUGGGUUAAGUCCCGCACGAGCGCAACCCUUGCCUUUAGUUGCCAGCAGUUCGGCUGGGCACUCUAAAGGGACUGCCGGUGUUAAACCGGAGGAAGGUGGGGAUGACGUCAAGUCCUCAUGGCCUUUAUGACCAGGGCUACACACGUACUACAAUGGCCGAUACAAAGGGCAGCGACACUGCGAGGUGAAGCCAAUCCCGUAAAAUCGGUCUCAGUCCGGAUUGGAGUCUGCAACUCGACUCCAUGAAGUUGGAAUCGCUAGUAAUCGUGGAUCAGCAUGCCACGGUGAAUACGUUCCCGGGCCUU